rnacentral:rRNA from 1 species
AUUGAACGCUGGCGGCAGGCCUAACACAUGCAAGUCGAGCGGAGCGGCGGACGGGUGAGUGAUGCCUAGGAAUCUGCCUGGAAGUGGGGGAUAACGUCCGGAAACGGGCGCUGAUACCGCAUACUAUCAGAUGAGCCUAGGUCGGAUUAGCUAGUUGGUGGGGUAAAGGACUACAAAGGCGAAGAUCCGUAACUUGUAUGAGAGUAUGAUCAGUCACACUGGAAUUGAGACACGUUCCAGCCUCUUACGGGAGGCAGAAGUGGGGAAUGUUGGACAAUGUGCGAAAGCCUCAUGCAGCCAUGCCGCGUGUGUGAAGAAGGUCUUCGGAUUGUAAAGCACUUUAAGUUGGGACGCGUUACCAACAGAAUAAGCACCGGCUAACUUCGUGCCAGCAGCCGCGGUAAUUC